rnacentral:rRNA from 1 species
UAGGUAACCUGCCUCUAAGAUUGGGAUAACUUGUCGAAAGACGAGCUAAUACCAAAUAAGGCCACGGUCUCCUCGGGGACAGAGGUCAAAGGUAGCCUCUAUUUAUAAGCUAUCGCUGAGAGAUGGGCCUGCGUACCAUUAGCUUGUUGGAGAGGUAACGGCUCACCAAGGCAAAGAUGGUUAGCUGGUCUGAGAGGAUGAUCAGCCACACUGGAA